rnacentral:rRNA from 38 species
UUGACCUCGGAUCAGGUAGGAAUACCCGCUGAACUUAAGC